GAAUACCAUCGUGAUGUGGUUGUGUUGAUCAUAAUGCUAUGAUAAUAGGGCAAUAAUUUUAUUGUCCUUUUUUUUAA
rfam:Serratia marcescens subsp. marcescens Db11, complete genome